UCCGCUGCAUUGGUGACAGAAACACUGUU
rnacentral:piRNA from 1 species